UUUCAGAAUGUCGAUGCACCAUUCAACCAGGGAAAAAUUAUCUAUAAUUUUGGGAGGUUAACUUCGGUCACAAAAAAACUUGAUACGGACAACUUAAGCAACGGGGAAAAAAAGGUAUU